rnacentral:lncRNA from 1 species
AAGAUAUCAAAAAAGACCAAGAUGAUAAAGGAGAAGAUUCAUUGAUGCAGAACUAUAACCCCCCUCCCCCACCCAAACACACACACACACACACACAAAAAGAAAAAGAAAAGGAAAAAGAAAACCAUGAAUCUUGAUUUGGAAUAAUAAAUCCCAGUACAAAUUCUUCUGAGCUUCUACCCAAUAUUUAAAGAGGAGCCAGAAAACGAUACCUUGGCCGCAGUUUCUUCGACCACGUCGGUUUCUGUGGCAUCUCCAUUGGCAGCAGCUAAGGGCGGAAAUCUUGGGAAGCGUAGAGGUCUUUCGGGGAAAGGGGAUAGGUUUAGACGUAGAGGCCUUGCGAGCCUCUGAUUAGGAAAGAAGAUCGCAACGCUCCUCGGAGUCUCGCGAGAUGCGACGGCCGGCCUCGGCGAGGGGAAGAGGAGAGCCGGAGUCCCAAGGAUUGCGGCCAUUGGUUGUUGGUGAGAAGAGACGAGCGAGGGCGAGGAGCUGCUAGCGAUAGACCGAGGCGAAUCUGACCGGAAGGUUCAGGAGACUUCAGCUGCUUUCGAGCCCCGACCGUCCGGGCGAGGAGUAUGCGGUCCGGUCCGAUCUGCCAAACAUUCUGCUUUCAAAUGUUUGGUCUAGGAUUUGGACCGGCGGAGCCUGAGCUACCGCGUCUCCGCUACGCUUCGCCUUGGUGCUCCCGAGAGUGAUAGUUUUGAUCAACCGUCGUAGGGCUCCCGUCGAGCUCCAUGAAGAAAAUAGUUUAUCUCUUUUUAGCAACGAAAGAGCUUUAGUAAGGAAUUCAAGCCUAAGGUAGGCUUCAAAAGUCGUAAGAUCAUGCCGAGAAAAUCGCU